rnacentral:rRNA from 1 species
UACAGAGGUCUCAAGCGUUGUUCGGAUUCAUUGGGCGUAAAGGGUGCGUAGGUGGCGCCGUAAGUCAGGUGUGAAAUUUCGGAGCUUAACUCCGAAACUGCAUUUGAUACUGCGGUGCUUGAGGACUGGAGAGGAGACUGGAAUUUACGGUGUAGCAGUGAAAUGCGUAGAGAUCGUAAGGAAGACCAGUGGCGAAAGGCGGGUC